rnacentral:lncRNA from 1 species
GGGCUUGUAUCCCUACGCGAUGUAGGAAUUGGACGUACUACUAUUCCUCCUACUCAGUUACUUGGAUUUGGAGUUAGAUUGAAGUGGUGAGAUUCCAUACUCCGAAAGACUCCAUUUCAUGCUAUGGGCUUCUUUUCAUUAUUUUUGUUUCUUGGAUUUUGAAUUUUACUAUGGUCAGGAGCAUAUCCCGACCGAAUGUUAAUUGAUUCUGGUUAGAUGCUUUUUUCGACUACUAUGGGCAUGGGUGGUGUCGGUAUUGGUGUCAGUCUUGGUAUUUGUAUUGUCAUUAGGGUUGGCAUCAGUUAGACAUUUGGUUGAGAUUGUUGGAUUAUGAUUAUAGACUUUAUUUAAUGUCUUUGAGUUAUUAUUGUUUUAUCUUGUUAUAUGUUCAAAAUUCAUCCGACAUAGGGUGUAGAACGGUUACGGUUGGGUAUCGGGGGUGGCAUCCAUUCCUGGUUGGACUUGAGAUGCAUUAAACAGCUAGGCCUUGGUUCGAGUUAUUUCAAAUGCGUACUGAGUACCCAUUGUUUUGGUACUUAUACUGCACUUUUGUACCUUUUGUUGCAGACCUGAGUACUAGUUGCCACUACUGAGUUAAGAUAGUGUAGUGUUGAUCUUCUAGAGACAAGGUGAGCUCUUUGAGUUUCCAGUCCCCUGUUUCCCUCAUUUCUUUAUUUAGCCUUUUGUAUUCAAGAUAAAUGUAUAGACUAUUUAAGAUUUUGGAUUGUAUUUCCUGUUAUUAUACUUAUAUGCUCUUGUACUGAUAUUACUAGGUCGUGGGAUUGUAUUCGUAUUUUGAUUUUCUUAUUAAGUGGG